AUUUUUAUUAGUAAGAUUUUAAUCAAUCCAGAAUACUCAAUGUGAAUCUAGCCAUUUUUGUUGCUAGUUGUUUUUCCAUUAUAAUCCUAUAGGAAAUGGAUAGAAAGGAAUAUGCUUACGUGCAGGAAUGUACAGGGCUAAUGAAUAACAUAUGGUUAGACAUACAUUAAGGACCUCCCCUCCCUAGGGACUUAGGUAAAGUGUAAUCUAAAGGAAAAGUUUUACUAUUUGGAAACGCCCUGUAUAGGGUAUAUAAUGAGAUGCAACCUAGCAUUUCGACAGAACUCCUUGCAACGAGCUCUCGACUUUGUUUUGCUUAAAAUAAAGUCUUUUCUUCUGAGAGAAAAAUCCCUGACUGAGUUUGAUCCUUUGGAGAACCGGCAAAAUACACCACAGAUUUGGCACCCCAGAUGGGACUGGAAAGGAGCAGAGUGGACGACUGCUUUUGAGCUGACUGAUGAGCAACACACACACAGUGGUGGCCACCAUAGAAUAAGAUGAUUUCUGGAACAGUGCCUUGACAAAGGAAAGCAAUGAAAUGGAGUCUGUCGAGGAAUGGCAAAGCAGCAAACACAGCUGCAGAGAGAAGAAGAGGGAGGGGCUGAUGGAUGUUCCCCUCCCCUCUUGAAAGAGAAGAACACACUUCAGCAAGGAGAAGACUGAAAUUAAAGCAGGAAAAGGUGAAUCUUUCACUUGAGACUUUUCCUGAGGGUGAAAAGAACAUUAUGAAAUGCAAAACUCUGGCAGAAAGCAACCAGAAGCCAGACUGAGAAGAAUCAGAGAAACAACGGAGACCGUACACCACAACAUCAGGUCUUUGAGUGCCAUCACAGACUGACGACCCAGUACAACAGCCCAGGCUGAUGAUCUGACCAGAAGGACUUCCAUCCCUUCAGUGCACAGGUCCUGCAUAUUCAAUGAACACAUAGAGACUGCUUCAAAUGUUAAUUAUUUUAUUUUAUUAUUUUAUUUACUAUGUUUUAAUCUUGAUUAUUCACUGGUCUCACAGCACUUCCUUAAAUUCUGUGUUUUAACUAACUUUCUCAAUCUGCUUUUCAAUAGGUACCAGUCCAGCCUCAUGUCUUAAAGAAAAAAUAAUAUUGUGACAGACAGAAGUGAGUACUUGACUCACCAAUCAGAUAAACAUGGAGCUGGAUUUGGCAUAGUAAGACAGUUUCAUUAAACAACUAGGGGAAAAUGCACAACUAAAUACUUGACAACAAUGAUGAGCUCUUUGGGAAAGAAGAGAAUAAAUAAAUAAAAUGAAAAAGGGUAUCUUGAUGAACAAUAGAAAAAUAUAUAUUGUUGAGAAAAUAGAAAUAUUGGUCACUCCAUUUUGUUUUAAGGUAAUUUUCUAAGGUAAAACUGAAUAAAAUAAUAAUGAAUAAAAGAUUAUUCCAAAGAUCCAAAAUCAUGAAAUCACAUAUACUGUCAUCACUGGGGAUAACCAGAUGGAAAUGUUGAUGGCCAUGGAUCCUAGAUUAUGCAGAGAUCUCCAAUCCUCUUCUCAGAGUCGCUCAUGAGCAAUAACAAAAAAGUAUUUGACUAAACUUUAAAUUAGACAAACACAUGACAUUUGAGAAAUGAUAAUUGGCUCUCUCAAAUGCCCAAUGCCUAGGCCUAAUAUUCUAAACAAAUUAAUCUAUGAGAUUUUGAAAAAGGAAGGAAAGAAAGAAAACAAAAGUUUUUGGCAAAAAAAAAAAAAAGGGGGGAGUGAAAGUGUGUGAAAAAGUAUGAAUGAUGGUGUUGUAUGGCAUGAAAGAGAGAAAGUAUGAAUGAUGGUGUUGUAUGGCAGAAAAAGAGAGUGUCUGACGAGACACUGAGGCAAUUCAAUCAAUUUGCCCAAACAGCUGUAUACAAAUUUGAAUGUGGGCCCACAGGGCAAACUUAUGCCCAGUAAAAUAAUGACCAUGGAUGUAUUUGGUUAAGUUUCCUGGUCAGUACCAAGGUCUUUGUUGUGGCAGAAAUAAAAACAGUGCCACACAUGCGCAGCGUAUAACAUGGGAAGGCAGAGCAAAGCAAGCUUGCUCUGUCCACCCCACAUUUAACAUUCUUUUCAGCAUAUCAUGAUGGAGCUGAUUGUGUCAAAAGGAUGAAACAUUAUCUUUCUGACUGUUAAAAUAAAUGCAGUGGGUUGAGUGUUUUCCAGGUCAAAAGGCCUAUGCUACUGAGCAAGAUAGGCCUAGAUAAAUUAUCCAAUGAUAUAGUGGAACUCAGUUUACAAAAUAAAAAGAUAACUAAAUAAGCAAAUUGUUGAGAAUAAAAUUGAAAGGAAUUAAAAAAUAGUAAAGACAGCACAGGAAUUGUGAAAACUCAAAAAGGGGCCAAGACAGCCCUCAACCCACAUUACAUUUCCACAGGUCACACCAAGAAGGACGACUGGCAAGAUGAACAAAUUAGCAUGCUUGAUAACACUAACAAAAAAUUCUUAAGUUUUCCAUUUACAGGUGACAGCAGUUCCAGUAAGGCCAAGGAAUGCUUCGCCCCAUCAAAGAGAACCAGUGAGGGUGCAGAAAUGAUCUCGAGAGCCUUGCAUAAAUCAGAAAAACGGUUACAGAGUGACACCUGAGUUCACAUCUCUAACCUUAAAAUACCCCAACCAGCUUCAAAAACUCCACACAGCAUGAAGUGAGGGAUGAAGGGCGUGCUAGUAACGACCCACCCUUGCCAACGAGGGAAAGACCAUUGCAACGACUCGCAAAGAGUCUCCCUGGUGAAGAUGGAAUGAGAGAAUGAUGGGACUGCUACUGAGAUCAAAAUACUUGGAUGCAGAUAUGAGCCGAGAAAUGGAAAAGAAAAAGUGGAAAGAGAAUGUUAAGUAAUGUUAGAUGAAGAAUUUGAAGGUUAUGAGAAGGGAAAUAUGGAUGUAGGAAGAUUUGAAGGGAAAAUAGAGCAAUUUGAUGCAACAAAUAGAAUGAAAGGAGCAAAAUAGAAAAGCUCAAGAUUUGUGAAUUGAAGAAGGAAAAGUAUGUGUUAUGUUUGGGGAAAAUGCUGUAUUUAUAGAAGGGAGCAUUUAAUGAAGAACUGAUCAAAUUGAAAAGGCUAAGAAUGAUAGAUAAAGAAAAUGUUGGAAAAGAUAAUAAAAUGUAAGACUGGUUUGAUUUACAGUUAGGAGCACGUGGAGCAUAGUUUAUAAUUAAAUAGGGAAAGUUUUUAGGAAUGGCAUUAAUGACAGGAUAUUUACUAUUUUACUGUAUACUUCCUAUAUUGAGGUCACUAGUCAAAACCACAGUUAAGCAAAUUAAAUUCAAAGAUAUCAAAAUAAUGGGAAAUUGAUACAUAAGGUAUCUAAGCUGAAGUUCAACUCUUAUAAUCUUGUGAUAUUCAAUGUGUGAUGUGAUUUGUAUUUGUAUGUGUAUGUAUUUUUACGCCUUUUAUACAAAACUGUGAUAACCAGGCAAAUGCUGAACCAAUUGCACAUUCAUGUUUUUAACAAUGUCUACUAUUAAAGAGGGGUUAGGGAGACUGGAUCUUUUACUCACUCCAUGUUAAAAAAGGAGAGAGAUGUUUGGUCCAGUAAUCCCUCAGAGUGGAAUUUCAUAAUCUAGUCACUGGGGAUAAUACAAUGUGACUUAUCUAGUCACUAGGUAGUGUAAAUAAUAUGACUGGAUUAUGGAGUAGCACUCUGGAUAAGAAUAAUCAAAUGUGAGACUUAUUAAGUCUCAAAGGGGAGAAUAUGUGGAAGAUUUUUAUUAGUAAGAUUUUAAUCAAUCCAGAAUACUCAAUGUGAAUCUAGCCAUUUUUGUUGCUAGUUGUUUUUCCAUUAUAAUCCUAUAGGAAAUGGAUAGAAAGGAAUAUGCUUACGUGCAGGAAUGUACAGGGCUAAUGAAUAACAUAUGGUUAGACAUACAUUAAGGACCUCCCCUCCCUAGGGACUUAGGUAAAGUGUAAUCUAAAGGAAAAGUUUUACUAUUUGGAAACGCCCUGUAUAGGGUAUAUAAUGAGAUGCAACCUAGCAUUUCGACAGAACUCCUUGCAACAAGCUCUCGACUUUGUUUUGCUUAAAAUAAAGUCUUUUCUUCUGAGAGAAAAA